rnacentral:rRNA from 1 species
UACAGGGGGGGCAAGCGUUGUUCGGAAUUACUGGGCGUAAAGGGCCAGUAGGCGGCCAACUAAGUCCGACGUGAAAUCCCCAGGCUUAACCUGGGAAUUGCGCUUGAAACUAGGCUGCUUGAGUGUGGCAGAGGGGGGUGGAAUUCCACGUGUAGCAGUGAAAUGCGUAGAGAUGUGGAGGAACACCGAUGGCGAAGGCAGCCCCCUGGGUCGACACUGACGCUCAUGCACGAAAGCGUGGGGAGCAAACAGG